UGCGUAGGCGGAAUAUUAAGUCAGUGGUGAAAUCCUGCGGCUCAACCGAAGAACUGCCAUUGAUACUGAUAUUCUUGAAUGUAGUUGAGGUAGGCGGAAUGUGUAAUGUAGCGGUGAAAUGCUUAGAUAUUACACAGAACACCGAUUGCGAAGGCAGCUUACUAAACUAUGAUUGACGCUGAGGCACGAAAGCGUGGGGAGCGAACAGGAUUAGAUACCCUGGUAGUCC
rnacentral:rRNA from 1 species